UACGUAGGGUCCGAGCGUUGUCCGGAAUCAUUGGGCGUAAAGCGCGUGUAGGCGGUCCGAUUAGUCUGCUGUGAAAGUCAGGGGCUCAACCCUGGGAUGCCGGUGGAUACUGUCGGGCUCGAGUCCGGAAGAGGAGUGUGGAAUUCCUGGUGUAGCGGUGAAAUGCGCAGAUAUCGGGAAGAACACCCGUGGCGAAGGCGGUUCUCUGGGACGGUACUGACGCUGAGGAGCGAAAGCGUGGGGAGCAAACAGG
rnacentral:rRNA from 1 species